UACGUAGGUGGCAAGCGUUAUCCGGAUUUAUUGGGCGUAAAGAGAACGCAGGCGGUCUUUUAAGUCUGAUGUGAAAGCCUUCGACUUAACCGGAGUAGUGCAUUGGAAACUGGGAGACUUGAGUGCAGAAGAGGAGAGUGGAACUCCAUGUGUAGCGGUGAAAUGCGUAGAUAUAUGGAAGAACACCAGUGGCGAAAGCGGCUCUCUGGUCUGUAACUGACGCUGAGGUUCGAAAGCGUGGGUAGCAAACAGG
rnacentral:rRNA from 1 species